rnacentral:rRNA from 1 species
CGGGUGAGUAACACGUGGGUAACCUGCCCAUCAGAAGGGGAUAACACUUGGAAACAGGUGCUAAUACCGUAUAACAAUCGAAACCGCAUGGUUUCGGUUUGAAAGGCGCUUUUGCGUCACUGAUGGAUGGACCCGCGGUGCAUUAGCUAGUUGGUGAGGUAACGGCUCACCAAGGCAACGAUGCAUAGCCGACCUGAGAGGGUGAUCGGCCACAUUGGGACUGAGACACGGCCCAA